rnacentral:lncRNA from 1 species
GCAAACGGGGCCGGAAAGCGUGGCAGCGCAGGCGCAAGCGCAGAGAGCGGAGGCGGUGGUGGUGGCGGCCGCUGGCCAGUGUAAGAUGGCGGCGGCGUUGGUGGUGGCAGUGGACGGGGCGGCUGGGCCUGGAACAGUCGGAGCAGCCGCUAGCAGAAGGAUGACCCAAGACGGGAAGCGGGCUGCUGAGCCUCGCCGAUUCCCGUGCUUGUAACUGCCCCAGCCGGACACCCCCCCUCCCUUGACCUACCCGUCCUUCAGUGAAUCUACAGACCUAUUUUCUCAGGAGCUCAGCCUGGCCUUACUUCAGUGAUAAAAGGAGGAAAGGCUGGCUACAGCAAACAUCAUUCAAGAUGUCCAGCAAAGGGAGCAGCACAGAUGGCAGAACAGACUUAGCUAAUG